AGCAGCGUGGCUUAGUGGAAAGAGCAUGGGCUUGGGUGUCAGAGGUUAUGGGUUUGUAUCCCAUCUCUGCCA
rnacentral:tRNA from 1 species